GGGGAAGUGCUGGAAUUGGCAGACAGGCAUGACUUAGGAUCAUGUGCCGCAAGGCGUAAGGGUUCAAGUCCCUUCUUCCCCA
rnacentral:tRNA from 1 species